CAAAAAGCAAUGAAUAAGGCCAGUAAAUAGAAAAUGAUGUAAGAGAGUGAAGCUCCUGGGCUGCGAAGCUUCAUCAUCCUCUUUUCUAUUGAACCUACCUUAUGAGCUGUCAAGAUACUUGACCGUUUAUCCCGCGUUAACGGAAACGAGCGUGCAAAUGAUUCCAUUUGCAAAUAAAGGUGGUACCACGGAAGAUUCCCUUUCGUCCUUUUA
rnacentral:ncRNA from 1 species